rnacentral:rRNA from 1 species
AUACGUAGGGUGCGAGCGUUAAUCGGAAUUACUGGGCGUAAAGCGUGCGCAGGCGGUUAUACAAGACAGGCGUGAAAUCCCCGGGCUUAACCUGGGAAUGGCGCCUGUGACUGUAUAGCUAGAGUGUGUCAGAGGGGGGUAGAAUUCCACGUGUAGCAGUGAAAUGCGUAGAUAUGUGGAGGAAUACCAAUGGCGAAGGCAGCCCCCUGGGAUAACACUGACGCUCAUGCACGAAAGCGUGGGGAGCAAACAGGAUUAGAUACCCUGGUAGUCCACGCCCUAAACGAUGCUGACUAGUUGUUCGGGAUUUACAUCCUGAGUAACGUAGCUAACGCGUGAAGUCAGCCGCCUGGGGAGUACGGUCGCAAGAUUAAA